rnacentral:piRNA from 1 species
GGACCUAGUGGCAGCCACUUGUUUGGUGUC